GUGCCAGCCGCCGCGGUAAUACGUAGGUGGCAAGCGUUGUCCGGAAUUACUGGGCGUAAAGGGCGCGCAGGCGGUUCCUUAAGUCUGAUGUGAAAGCCCACGGCUUAACCGGGGAGGGUCAUUGGAAACUGGGGGACUUGAGUGCAGAAGAGGAAAGUGGAAUUCCUAGUGUAGCGGUGAAAUGCGUAGAGAUUAGGAGGAAAACCAGUGGCGAAGGCGGCUUUCUGGUCUGCAACUGACGCUGAGGCGCGAAAGCAUGGGGAGCAAACAGGAUUAGAUACCCUGGUAGUCCAUGCCGUAAACGAUGAAUGCUAAGUUUUAGGGGGUUCCCGCCCUUUAGUGCUGCAGCUAACGCAUUAAGCACUCCGCCUGGGGAGUACGACCGCAAGGUUGAAACUUAAAUGAAUUGACGG
rnacentral:rRNA from 1 species